GGAGAGGUCGCAUAGUGGUCUAGUGCGCUCGCUUGGAAAGCGAGUGUGGGGAAACCCACCGCGAGUUCGAAUCUCGCCCUCUCCG
rnacentral:tRNA from 1 species